UGAUAGUUUUUGGUGUUGGGCAGA
rnacentral:piRNA from 2 species